UAAAAUGCAAUGAAAAGAAGAGUAAUAAAAGAAUCAUUCUAUAAGAGAGCUAACAUGUGCUGAAAGUUAGCGUUUGUGAAUUUUAUGAAGAUGGUCUUAGAGCAUGUUUUCUGAGCCAAGGUUUAUUUGGUUAGGAGAAUACGGGGGCAACCGUUAUAUUGCAAGGUGAUGAUGGUCACCUGCUGAGUUACUCGUUGUAAAGUGAGUAAGAAUUAGAGUGGUAACACGUAUAAUACGUCUCUAUA
rnacentral:ncRNA from 1 species